rnacentral:rRNA from 1 species
UACGUAGGGGGCAAGCGUUGUCCGGAUUUACUGGGCGUAAAGAGCGUGUAGGCGGCCAAGCAGGUCCGUUGUGAAAACUGGAGGCUUAACCUCCAGACGUCGACGGAAACCGCGUGGCUAGAGUCCGGAAGAGGAGAGUGGAAUUCCUGGUGUAGCGGUGGAAUGCGCAGAUAUCAGGAAGAACACCAACGGCGAAGGCAGCUCGCUGGGACGGAACUGACGCUAAGGCGCGAAAGCGUGGGGAGCGAACAGG